ensembl:lncRNA
CAGAAGGUGAAAACCUAUUUCUCUGGCACUGAGGGGCCCAGAUGACCUGAGGUUGGAGGAAUGAGAGGCCCCCAGAGAGGGAACAAGCGGCUGGCUGGAACUGGAGUCUGGCCACUGACAGGUCAUCCAUCUGAGAGUCCCUGUGACCUGUGACCCAGUGUCAGUACAUCCUUUACGUGGGGCUCACUCCCAGCCCUGGCAUCCCACAGCACUGUGUCACCUCGCUGUGACCUCUGUUUGGGAUGUAUUUGCUAAGCUCAUUCUCUUCCUACUUUAUGUCUCUCCAUAGAACUUGACCUUUUCUAACAUGGACAGUUGUACUAUCUUAUCUCCUCCCAUAGAAUGUAAGCUUCAUAAAAUCAAGGACUUUUGCCUGUCUUAUUCAGUGGUGCUUUCCUCAGCCCUUGGAACAGUGGUUGGCAUACAGCAGAGCUGAACAAAUAGUCGAAUGGCUGAGCAAGUCCUCUUUGAGAAGCUGUUCCUCUCACAAACUUAUUCGGGUCCCACUGGCGUCUCACAAGACUUGUCAUCAAGCCUAUUUUCCAGAGGAAGAAACCGGGGCUCCAAGGUUGCAGAACCUGUUUCUGCGCCUCCUAAUACGUUGGCCGGCUCUCCGGCUUGACGGGCUCGCACUGGCAACAGCGCCCUCUACAGGCGGAGGCGGAGACGCCGGCAUUACGGUCAGCCCCGCCCCUCGGCACCGGAAAUGCCCGAGCUUUCCCUCCGGCUUCCGAAGAUUGUCGAGCGCUCCUCCGAGCGCUCGGGCUCGGAAUGCGGACAGCGAGCGCUACCUACAGCCGGAACCCAGCUUUCCGGCAGCCCUGGUCGCCACAGCUCCGGGUCAGAGGCAUCCCUGGAGACUGCAGAAAGGUGGCAGCGACCUCGGUUGCCAUCGCUUCCUUCGUCGUAACGGCAGGGCAGACGCCGAGAUGCCACCGGGAGGACUGACCACACAGCCUUGAACCGAGGAGGCGGAACUCUGGGAUGGGCGCUCUUCCUCGGGGACGGGGGCUCCUGGGGAAGGGGACCGUCCCUGGGCUACCGUGCCACAAGCGAGGACACCUGUGCAUCAAACCCUGAACCUGAGACCGGGCGUCUGUGAGUCUGUGGACAGCAACCUUCCUUUCCCAGACCUCAGUUUCUGCACCUGAAAUGGGGGCUCCUCCAGGACACUUCCACUUGCAAAAACCGGAAUUUUGUCCAGCAUUUUCAGAAUCCCCGCCUCCAGGCAGGCGCCGAGAAAGCAGCCUUGUGCCUCCAGACAAUCAACGAUAACUAACGGUUCAGAAUCCACCCCGAAGUCAGACCAACCCAAGAAUGCCUACACUCCCUCUGGGGCAUCUCGGACAAGUGACCUCUGCUUUCUGGGGCUCAGUUUCCACAUCUGUAGAAUGGUGUGGAACAGGGCCAGCUUCUUUUGAGGUUUGGUGGGAAAACAUAUGCAAAAGCCUAACACUAUUUCUGGCUUAGAAAACCCUUAAUAAGCACAACUGUGACCGGUUGUCACAGUUCUGGGCCCUGGGAGGGUUCCUGAGACGUGGACCCUGCCCGUCUUCUGCCCUCUGUGACCAAGAUGGUGUUAGGGGAGCGGCAAAUGUGGGGUGCACGCAGUCCCUGCCCCGGAGGCAGGAGGCACAGGGCUCCGAGAUCGCCUUGCCUUGCUGCAUUGGCACUCCUAACGCUGGCAGGCGCCCUGCAGCCUGGGGUGGGAUGGACAUGCAACGUGGCCAUGAAAGUGGUGAGAGUGGUGCUCAGAUCCACUGAGCACUUCAUUUAGGCCUGGCUUUGCAUGAAGCCUAUCACAUGUAUUAUAUCCAUCCCCCCAAAGUCCUGUCUAGUAGGUCUGUUCCUGCCAUCCCAUUUUCUGAUGAGACAUUUGAAGCCCAGAGUCACAAACUAGUAACCAGUCCGAGGUCACCCAGCUACCAAGUGACUGAAGCAGCAGUCCACAGUCUUACCCACUGUUCUGUGCCCAGAAACAUUUGGCGUGGAAGGCAGGUGGCAGAGGGGAAAUGACAAGGGCCCACCAGUGUUAGUAAUAUACACUACAGAUGGAGCCCUUAGUGAGUGUUGGGUGCUGGCCUAAGGGCCAGCAUCAUUUAUAUUCCUGAGAGUGAGCCUAUACUAUAGGUUCUGUUAUUACUACUUUUGGAGAAGGCAAUGGCACCCCACUCCAGUACUCUUGCCUGGAAAAUCCCAUGGACGGAGGAGCCUGGUGGGCUGCAGUCCAUGGGGUCGCUAAGAGUCGGACACGACUGAGCGACUUCACUUUCACUUUUCACUUUCAUGCGUUGGAGAAGGAAAUGGCAACCCACUCCAGUGUUCCUGCCUGGAGAAUCCCAGGGAUAGGGGAGCCUGGUGGGCUGCCGUCUAUGGGGUCGCACAGAGUCGGACACGACUGAAGCGACUUAGCAGCAGCAGCCGCACUGCCACUUCAUCAGUGAAAGGUUAUCUCAUCUGUAUGGUCACACUGCUAGUACAAAACUCGGUCUCUGGGGACCAUCGGUGGAGCACUUUGCCUUAGGAAGACCCCGCUGUUCUCUGAUUCUCAGUUUCCUCUUUUGUAAAAUGAGAGGCUUGCACCGGAAGGCCCUGAGUGUGACUUCCUGAGCUUUCAUUGUUUGAUCUUAGGGAGCAUUGACAUGAUGUCCCGAGUCCCGGAUUUCUUCCUAAUUAUCUGUGACUUGGGGACGCCUGGGCUGAGACCAUUGCACCUCUGGGCCUCAGUUUCCGCUUUCAUAAAAUGUGGAGACUAGACAAUCCCACUGACCAGGGCACCUUCCAGCUUUAAUAUUUUAUGAGUGCAAAUGAAGAGACAAGCUGAAGUUCAGCAAACUCUGCAUUCUCUGAGAAAUUCUAAUAAAUGUGAAUCUGCCACGUCA